AGGAGGUGAAAACAGAAGAAUACGGUAAUCAGCACACUUUCUUUUAAACUGAAGAGAGUUUAUGUCUCUUUCAACACAGCUGCUCUCUUAACAAAUUGUUUUUUUUUUCAUUUUUACCUGAAUUAGUGAGGUAUUUGCUCAUAAAUGUUUUGUGAGCAAGUUCAAUAGUAACUCAAGAAAAUUGCCAUAGCAAAAAAUAGAAGAACUGAUUCAAAAAAACAAGACUUACUGUCUGCAAAUAAAUACCUAACACUGUUUGCUUUCUUGAGCAUCCAUUGAAGUAAGUGUGCUGAGUUCAAGUCCAGAGUAUCAUUAUAAUUGAGAAAGAAAGUUGUGACUAGAAGAAAGAGUUGCCUGCUAAGACAAUGCAGGGGAAUAUGCAGAAGAGUGGCAGUUAUCAGAGCUGGGGUCAGUGGUCUGGGGAUUAUUAAGUGCUGCUUGGAUGAAGAGCUAGAGCCCGCCUGCUUUUGACAAUGUGAUGAUAUCGAGGUACCUGGAGAUUCCAAGAAAAGUAACUGGUGAAAACAUGAUCAUCCUUCCAAGGUUUCACAGGUUCAGCCAAAGGACCAGAACUCUUCAUCCGUCCAUAAAGUAGCCCACCAACACUGCCAUCUCUCCUUUGUGGAACUGCAGUAAGUGGUCAGAAGAGAAAGGUCACUAAUAUUCAGGUUGUGCCUAACACUGUUAAAUUAUAAGACAUGAGGAAGAGUUUGUUGAAGUUGAUAAUUGGCUCUUCCUAGAAGAAGGGGCAGCAGAUUCUGGAGGAAAGCAUACAUUUGAGUAAAGUACUAAAGAAAGAAAGCAGUAGCACUGAAAGGAAAAGAUGAAGAACCAAACAAAGGAGUACCCCCUGAGACCUGGCUCUUUCUCCUCGCCCUCAUCCAAUGUGAAUGGCUUGGCAUUGAGGAGUAAGGUAGCAGACAUCACAAUGAAACAACAUCUUUCUCCCAUCUCCCAACUCUACAACUUG